UUACGGCCAUAUCACGUUGCAACAUCGGUACUCGUAUGGUCACCGAAGUUAAGCAACGUCUAGCCUGAUCAAUACCUAGAUGGGUGACCGCUUGGAAAUACCAGGUGUUGUAAG